CUGUACUCAUGAAAUGCACUGCAAGGAAAUACGCACCUACAAGUUGUCCCUAUAAGAUUAAGGUAUGUGGCAUGCAAGCAGAGGAGAGGAUGAACUUGACAUUUACUAAUACUACUUCAUAUUUGAUCUCACAAGAUUCAAAAGAUAAAUGGAGGAUUAGAUGGGUGUGUG